AUCAUUCAUGGUAACCGACUGAAUACAAAUUUAAACAAUUCAAACAAACUGCAUUGCUGACUUUUUUGUCCCUGGAAGAAGAACACAAAUGUUGGCUUUGUUUUCUUUUGAAAUCCCUGUUAGCAGUGGUCUCUCAAGAUGUUGUUGGUUCAAAAGUAUCUUCUGCAUUUAGUGGUGAAAAUUAUUUUAUAAUAGAGAAAACACAGGGGGCAAAUUGAAAAGACUCAGGGUGAUAUCGUUGCAGACAAGGAUGUUAUUAUUCGUCGUUCAUGGUUGAAUGAUGUGAAACAUAUGUUACGCUGAUACAGACAGAGCCACAGCAUGGGCUUGCAAAUCUUGCUAUCAUAUUUGUUAGGAGAUGCUGGCAGCCUUAUAUUGUGGGUUUAAUAUGUAAUAUAUAAUUUGUUGUGCCUAAUAAAGCUAUGAAUCACAGACACGCCCGCUUAAUCUAAUUAUGAUGUCACUUUUGGUGGGCGGGGCUUUUUUUGCUACUUCCUUACGCUUUGAUUUUCAACUUCCGAUUUUUUGUGGGCGUAGUCAGACACGCCAAUCUAAUUAUAACGUCUUCUCCGGUGGGCGGGGCUUAUUUCCCUACUACCUUACACUUUGACUUUCAACUUCCGAUUUUUUGUGGACGUGGUCAAACAUGGCAAUUCAAUCUAAUUAUGAUGUCACUUCCGGUGGGCGGGCUUAUUUCACUACUUUCUUACGCUUUGACUUUCAACUUCCGAUUUUUUGUAGGCGUGCUCAGACACGCCUACUUAAUUUAAUUUUGACAUCACUUUUGGUAGGCGUGGCUUAUUUCUCUACUUCCUUACGCUUUGACUUUCAACUUCCGAUUUUUUGUGGCCAUGGUCACACAUGCCCACUUAAAUCUAAUUAUGACGUCACUUCCACUGGGCGGCGGUUUUCUCGCUACUUCCUUACGCUUUGACUUUCAAGUUCCGAUUUUUUGUGGAAGUGGUCAGACACGCCCACUUCAGCACGCCCAUUUUUAGAAUCACUUUUUUUCUCCAGAUUCAAAUUGGGAUUCCCUUUUUUCUCAAGA